UACGGAAGGCAGCAGUGGGGAAUAUUGCACAAUGGGCGAAAGCCUGAUGCAGCUAUGCCGCGUGUAUGAAGAAGGCCUUAGGGGUUUGUAAAGUACUUUUCAUCGGGGAGGGAAAAAACAAAAACUAAUAAUUUUAAUUUUCUUGACGUUACCCGAAAAAACGAAAGUAACCGGCUAACUCCGUGCCAGCAGCCGCGGUAAUACGGAGGGUGCUAGCGUUAAUCAGAAUUACUGGGCGUAAACGAGCACGUAGGUGGUUUUUUUUAAGUUCAGAUGUGAAAUCCCUGGGCUUAACCUAGGAACUGCAUUUUGAAACUGAAAUACUAGAGUAUCGUAGAGGGAGGUAGAAUUCUAGGUGUAGCGGUGAAAUGCGUAGAUAUCUGGAGGAAUACCUGUGGCGAAAGCGGCCUCCUAAACCGAAUACUGACACUG
rnacentral:rRNA from 1 species